UCAAAGGAACAUUACUACUAAUUAAUUCUUUUGCUAAAAAAUUAAAACCCAAUCAAUUAACGGUACAAAGGAAUAUAGCUUUUAGUGAAACAGACAAAUUGUCAGUCUUCACUUAACUUCAUUUCGCUUCAGUUUUAAUAACCGAAAAUAAAAGAAACAAUAAAAACAAACAUCUUUUAAUGAUGUUUUAUCAAAAAUCUCAACCAAGUGGAAAAAUUUGAAAGUAUUUUUCUGUUAAAAAGGUCAUCUCAAGAACUUUUCUUCAAUACUUUAAACGAUCAGUUCAUCAAUACUAUUUCAACUUUAAUUGGCAUUCCCGUAAUUCUAUCAACUGGAGUUUCUUCGUUCUACUUGAGAGGAGAAUUCAAUGAAAAUAUUUUAAACAUUCUUCAGUUUGAUUCAAGUGAUUUAUUACUGCAACAGCGACUCUUGGAAUAUCUUCAACACCUUCGAACUUCAAAGACGAUUUUUGUGUUGGAAAAUUCUUCAAAAAAUGAUUUAAAAAGUAUUUUUAAUUUCUGCUGGCAAAACAGAAUGAUCAAUGUUAUAGCAGUUUUUCAAGAUUUCGGGACUUCUUCGACUUACUAUAGCUACAGUAAUUUCGGACAAUUCAAAAUUGAAGAAUUCAUGUGGAACAAGAAAUCAGAUGUUUUUCCAAACCGAAUGUCGAAUCUUCAUGGCAUAUUGAAUCAGCUGGAUUGAUGAAGUUUUGGACGAGAAGAGCUUUUUAUAAAUUGAUUGAUCUUGGAAGAAUUGAGAAGUUGAACUGUACAAAAGAAACAAAAUUAAAACAGCUAACAGUUAAAGAUUUACAAUGGAUUUUGAUUUCAAUGAAAUUUGCAUAUUCGUUUGCAGUUUUGAUUUUUGUUGCAGAAAUUUUUGUGUAUAAAUUAAAUAAAAUAACAUGAACACAUACUUGAUCAAAACAUUAAA